AGUUUUGUUUAUCUUUUCCCUCCACACACACACACACACACACACACACACACACACACACACACACACAUUCACACGUACACUUACACAAGGAGGAAGGAACACUCACGACACUAAUUAUAAGUUACACAAACACGGAUUCUGAGCCUCGAACACACACACACACACACACAUACACACACACAGACACACACACUUACACACACGACGUACAACAGUUUUCAGGAAAGGUACGAGAAUGUCAUUACGAGUCUGAUUCCUGUACAAGACUCGCUGAGAUCAAUACGCAUCCUACCUCCUUCCUCCUCCUCCUCCUCCUUCUGGUCGCUCUCCCCCAUCUCCUCCACCUUUCCCCUCCCACCUCCCGCGUCCUCUUGCCUUCCACCCCUCCUCCUCCCUCUCCUUCUCCUUCUCUUCACCAUUUCCGAUACGCUGAAGCUGAGUAUCGGUGGACUCUAAGGUAAAUAAAGAGGCAGGCGUCCGCUGUGAGGAAGGAACUCUAACGGUGAGCGAUCGCCUGAGGAAAGGUUUUUGGGUUGUGUCACGCCGCGUUCUGCCGCCUCAAGGAACUGGGAUUUGUUUGUCGCCUCUGCCGCCUCCUGUUACAGCUUCGGAAAUCAAUGGGCAGUAACGGAGAGGAAGGGAAAGGUGAAUAAGGGGAGUGAGAAGGGAUGUUUUGGGUUCAAGAAAGGGGAGAGUUACUUUUGUUUAACGUUGUAUAAUGUUUUGGAACGACAGAAAUGAAAGGAUAGGUGCAUAAGGGGAGUUGGAAGAGAUGUUUUGGGUUCAAGAAAGUGGGAAGAUACAUUUGUUUUCCGUUGUAUAAUGUUUUGGAAUGACAGAAAUGAAAGGAAAGGUGUAUAAGGGGAGUUGGAAGAGAUAUUUUGGGUUCAAGAAAGUGGGAAGAUACAUUUGUUUUCCGUUGUAUAAUGUUUUGGAAUGACAGAAAUGAAAGGAGAGGUGUAUAAGGGAAGUGAGAAGGGAUGUUUUGGGUUCAAGAAAGGAGGGAGUUACAUUCGUUUUCCGUUGCAUAAUGCUUUGGAGUGACAUAAAUGAAAGGAAAGGUGCAUAAGGGGAGUUGGAUGGGUUGUUUUGGGUUCAAGAAAGUGGGAAGUAAUGUUUGUUGUCUCUUUCUUAAUCUUGUGCAAUAAGAGAAAGGAAACAGAUGCUUAAGUGAAGGAAAUAAGAAGGGAUGUUUUGGGUUCGAGAAAGGGGAAAGCUACAUUUGUUGUCCGUUUUUUAAUCUUUUGCAGCGAGAGGAAGGAAAAAAAUUAAUAAAAAAGAAAAUACGAGAAGAUUUUAAAGGAUUGAAAAGGGGAAUGUGGAAAAGAAAAAGGUGAAGAAAGGAAGUGAGAAGGAUUUUGUAAAGUUCAAGAAAGAGGAAAGUUCAUUUGUCGUCUGUUUCACCAUUUUUCACUGUGAUGUAACUUCGAAAAUCAAUGAACAGCAACGCGAGAGGAAGGAAAAGGUGAAUUAGGGAAGUAUGAAGGUGAUUGUAGGGUUCGAGAAAGGAGAAUAUUAGCUUUGUUGUGUGUUUUAAUCUGCUGCAAUGAGUAGAAACGAGAGAGGGAAGGAAAACGUGAAUAAGGAAAGGAAUGAUAAGGAAAAUUGUAAGGCUUGAAAAAGGGAGAAACAGGAAAGGGAAGAAAAAGGUGAAUAAGGAAAGGAAUGAUGAGGAAAAUUGUAAGGCUUGAGAAAGGGGGAAACAGGAAAGGGAAGGAAUACAAGUGAAUAAAGGAGGAAAUAAGAAGGAAAGUUUAAUAUUCGAAUAAGGGAGAAGUUCCAUUUGUCUUGUGUUUUAACUUGUCGUAAUGAGUAAAAGAGAAGGAAAAAAUUGAUAAGAAGGGAAAUAAGAAGGAAUUUUGUAAGGCUUAAGAAAGGGGGAAGUUAUUUGUCUUAUAUUCUAACUUUGUAAUGAGUAAAAGAGAAGGAAAAAAAUAAGAAGGGAAAUAAGAAAGAAUUUUGUAAGGCUUAAGAAAUGGGGAAGAUAAAUUUCUCUUGUAUUCUAACUUUUCGAAAUGAGUAAAAAUUAGAGGAAGAAAAAAGCGAAUAAGAGGGAAAACUACGAAGGGAAUGUUUGAGAUAAGGGAAAGGUGUGUUUGUCUUCCCUUCUAACCUUUUGCAGUGAUUAAAAGUCGGUGAGGAUGGAAAAGCAGGUAAAUAAGAAGGGAAAUAAGAGGGUUUUCGUAAGGCUUAAAGAAGGGAAAGUUUAAUUAGGCAUCUUUCUACCUCCUCGUUGCGCUACUCUCUGGAAUCAGUAAGUAGGAGGGCGAGGAAAGAGAAAAGAAGAACAGGAAAGAAAGGAAAAGGAAGAAGAGAAAUGAAGAAGGAAAUUGUAAGGUUUGAGAAAGGGAAAGUUUAAUUAGUCUGUUUACCUUUCCAUUGUAUAACACCUUCGGAAAUCAAUAAAUAGAGAGCUGAAGAAGGAAAAAGAGGGAAAGGAAAGAAAGGAAAAGGAAGAAGGAAAAUGAAGAUGAAAUUUGUAAGGUUUCAGAAAGGGAAAGUUUAAUUAGACAUCUUUUUACCUUUCCAUUGUAUAACACCUUCGGAAAUCAAUAAGUAGGAGGCUGAAAAAGGAGAAAAGGAAAAAAAAGGAGAGAAAGGAAAAGGAAAAAUUGAAAUGAAGAUGAAAUUUGUAUGGUUUUAAGAUUGGAAAGUUUAAUUAGGCACCUUUCUACCUUCUCAUUGCGCUACACACCCGAAAAUCAAUAAGUAGAAGGCUGAGGAAAGAGAAAAGUAAUUAAGAAGGGAAAUGAAGAAGGAAAUUAUAAGGUUUGAGAAAGAGAAAGUUUAAUUAGGCAUCUUUCUACCUUUCCAUUGUACCACACCUUCGGAAAUCAAUAAGUAGAGAGCUGAAGAAGGAAGAAAGAAGAAAAGGAAAGAAAGGAAAAGGAAAAACGAAAAUGAAGAAGGAUAUUGUAAGAUUUGAGAAAGGGAAAGUUUAAUUAGCCAUCCUUUUUACCUUUUCAUUGUACCACACCUUCGAAAAUCAAUAAGUAGAGAGCUGAAGAAGGAAGAAAGAAGAAAAGGAAAGAAAUGAAAAGGAAGAAGGGAAAUGAAGAAGGAAAUUUUGUUAGGUUUGAGAAAGGGAAAGUUUAAUGAGACACCUUCUUACCUUUCCAUUGUACCACACCUUCGGAAAUCAAUAAGUAUAGAGCUGAAGAAGGAAGAAAGGAGAAAAGGAAAGAAAGGAAAAGGAGGAACGGAAAUGAAGAAGGAAAUUUUGUAAGGUUUGAGAAAGGGAAAGUCUAAUUAGCCAUCCUUUUUACCUUACCAUUGUACCACACCUUCGGAAAUCAAUAAGAAGGAAGCUGAAAAAAGAGGAAAGUAAUUAAGAAAGGAAAUGAAAAAGGAAAUUUGUAAGGUUUGUGAAAGAGAAAGUUUGUUGGUGUUUAGUGAGUGCUCGAACUGCUAGUUGGUUGAAGGGUAAGGAAAAACCAAUACCCGUCAAGGUUACUUUAUUACAAAAAUUACACAAAGUCAUUGGGAUAGACGAAACACAAAAGAGACGUUGUUGUGUGUAUAUGCAUUUAUAUGAAUGUUGUGUAAUGUAAAUGACAUUGGGGUGUUGGUGUAUGUGCUGUACAAAAUGUAUGUGAGAAGUGUAGCAGGACGUGGACAGACAGUUGAAGAUUAACAAUUAGCAAUAAAGAUUAACAAUGAGGACGCGACAAGACACGGAGCACAACAAUGAAAACAUUAAUGACAAAAUAAGAGUUUGUGCUGCCACACCAUUUUCUAUGAGUCACCGGGAAGAGCACGCGACCGUUUCAGCGGUGGCUUGCUACAAGUUUAA